UCUCCUCAGUGGCUCAGAUCUAAGUGGUGGAGCAUCAAGAGACAAGUAGCAAUCACAAGGAACUGCCCUUCCACGUGUUACUGAAGGGUCUUCAGGAGUUGAUGGAGACUCAGGUGCCGUUAGGGGUGGGCACUGGGCCAGGUAGCCCUUCCCUGCAGAUCCGAGUCACGCGAUUGGAGGAGUGCUGUAGCUCCCCCCCCGGCCCGUCACAGCACUGCAGAUCCCCCUGCAGAUCACACACCUGGACAGUGCUGGUGCCAGUGACACAGAGACCAUCACCCUCAACACUGCUGCUCUGCAGACCUUACAGAUCCUACCUUCUUUCCACCUGCACCCUACAGGGACUCCAGGGACAUACUUCCUUCAGACAGCAGCCAAUCAGAGCCUGCCGCUCAGCCUUUCCAGCAAUCCCACCGUCACACUGACGGCUAGCUCCU